CCUACGGGUGGCAGCAGUGAGGAAUAUUGGUCAAUGGACGAGAGUCUGAACCAGCCAAGUAGCGUGAAGGAUGACUGCCCUAUGGGUUGUAAACUUCUUUUAUAUGGGAAUAAAACGUUCCACGUGUGGGAUUUUGUAUGUACCAUAUGAAAAAGGAUCGGCUAACUCCGUGCCAGCAGCCGCGGUAAUACGGAGGAUCCGAGCGUUAUCCGGAUUUAUUGGGUUUAAAGGGAGCGUAGGUGGAUUGUCAAGUCAGUUGUGAAAGUUUGCGGCUCAACCGUAAAAUUGCAGUUGAAACUGGCAGUCUUGAGUACAGUAGAGGUGGGCGGAAUGCGUGGUGUAGCGGUGAAAUGCUUAGAUAUCACGAAGAACUCCGAUUGCGAAGGCAGUUCACUGGACUGCAACUGACACUGAGGCUCGAAAGUGUGGGUAUCAAACAGGAUUAGAUACCCUUGUAGUC
rnacentral:rRNA from 1 species